CCGCCCCAGAUGAUGAUGAUGGCUCGAAACAAAACCACCCCGUCAGGGAGAAGGCAGCCUGGAAAAACUGGUCCCGGCAGGGGCGAGGGCUGCAUUCCUGGCCGCCGCGGCAGGGGACGGCUCGUGCCCGCGCGGGUAUAAAAGCGUGCCCCGCACGCUGAGCCCGGCACUGGGGCGGGUGGUGGAAAGAGCGGCUGCGAGCUGAGAAGAAUGGCUUUUUUUUUUUUUUUCUUUUUCUUCUUCUUCUUUUUUUUCUUUUAUAAAACUUUUGCUGUUGUUAUUAUUCCUUCCAAGCCCCAGCGCGAGGCCGGCGGGACGUUGGCCAGGAGUCCGCCGCGGCGAGAGGAAGAGCCGAGGCCGGCUGUUAGGAGAGAGGGGGAAGCGCGUCCCCCGCCCCGCGCCUCCUCAGCCUCCUUGACUUAA
rnacentral:lncRNA from 1 species